GUGCCUGUAGUUCAAAGGAGUAGAGUGCUGGCCCCAUAAGCCAGAGGUGGCGGGUUCAAACCCAGCCCUGGCCA
rfam:Otolemur garnettii contig031955, whole genome shotgun sequence.